rnacentral:rRNA from 1 species
GAUGAACGCUGGCGGCGUGCCUAAUACAUGCAAGUAGAACGCUGAAGGAAGGAGCUUGCUCUUUCCGGAUGAGUUGCGAACGGGUGAGUAACGCGUAGGUAACCUGCCUGGUAGCGGGGGAUAACUAUUGGAAACGAUAGCUAAUACCGCAUAACAGUAGAUGUUGCAUGAUAUCUACUUAAAAGGUGCAAUUGCACCACUACCAGAUGGACCUGCGUUGUAUUAGCUAGUUGGUGAGGUAACGGCUCACCAAGGCGACGAUACAUAGCCGACCUGAGAGGGUGGACGGCCAAACUGGGACUGGGACCAGGCCCAGACUCCCUAGGGAGGCAGCAGUAGGGAAUCUUCGGCAAUGGACGGAAGUCUGAACGAGCAACGCCGCGUGAGUGAAGAAGGUUUUCGGAUCGUAAAGCUCUGUUGUAAGGGAAGAACGAGUGUGAGAGUGGAAAGUUCACACUGUGACGGUAUCUUACCAGAAAGGGACGGCUAACUACGUG